AUUGCAAUAAUGGUAUGCGAUAUAAUUUUAUUCAUUAGAAUAUAAUUUAUUUUUUAUUAUUAUUGUUCAAUAUUAUGUUCAUUUAUAUGUCAAGAUUGCAGGUAUGGCAUCAGGAGACAAACGACGACGUUCACAUUCGCAAUUUAUCCUAGAGGCUGAGGUGCCUUCAUCGAUUUCCACUGCCGCACCAGCUCUGUCGCC
rnacentral:lncRNA from 1 species